rnacentral:rRNA from 1 species
UACAGAGGUCUCAAGCGUUGUUCGGAUUCAUUGGGCGUAAAGGGUGCGUAGGCGGCGCGGUAAGUCGGGUGUGAAAUCUUGGAGCUUAACUCCGAAACUGCAUUCGAUACUGCCGUGCUUGAGGACGAGAGAGGGAUGCGGAAUUCCAGGUGGAGCGGUGAAAUGCGUAGAGAUCUGGAAGAACACCAAAGGCGAAGGCAGCAUCCUGGCUCGUAACUGACGCUGAUGUGCGAAAGCUAGGGGAGCGAACGGG